rnacentral:rRNA from 1 species
CCUACGGGAGGCAGCAGUGGGGGAUAUUGCACAAUGGGGGAAACCCUGAUGCAGCGACGCCGCGUGGGUGAAGAAGCGCCUCGGCGCGUAAAGCCCCGUCAGCAGGGAAGAAAAUGACGGUACCUGAAGAAGAAGCCCCGGCUAACUACGUGCCAGCAGCCGCGGUAAUACGUAGGGGGCAGGCGUUAUCCGGAUUUACUGGGUGUAAAGGGGGCGCAGACGGGGAUGCAAGCCAGGAGUGAAAGCCCGGGGCCCAACCCCGGGACUGCACUUGAAACUGCGUGGCUAGAGUGCAGGAGGGGCAGGCGGAAUUCCUGGUGUAGCGGUGAAAUGCGUAGAUAUCAGGAGGAACACCGGUGGCGAAGGCGGCCUGCUGGACUGCAACUGACGUUGAGGCCCGAAAGCGUGGGGAGCAAACAGGAUUAGAUACCCCUGUAGUC